AAUCGUGUAGUCGCCCUGACUGAAAGCCGUGCGAAGUCUAAGAGCGAGGUUUUCGCGACCAUCGUGUAAAAUCCUUGAUCUGUCCGAAGCUC